CUACAGGCCAGGUCAGUGGUAGUUCAGUAGGCUACAGGCCAGGUCAGUGGUAGUUCAGUAGGCUACAGGCCAGGCCAGUGGUAGUUCAGUAGGCUACAGGCCAGGUCAGUGGUAGUUCAGUAGGCUACAGGCCAGGUCCGGUCAGUGGUAGUUCAGUAGGCUACAGGCAAGGCCAGUGGUAGUUCAGUAGGCUACAGGCCAGGUCAGGUCAGUGGUAGUUCAGUAGGCUACAGGCAAGGUCAGGUCAGUGGUAGUUCAG
rnacentral:lncRNA from 1 species